rnacentral:rRNA from 1 species
UACAGAGGUCUCAAGCGUUGUUCGGAUUCAUUGGGCGUAAAGGGUGCGUAGGCGGGUUUUUAAGUCAGGGGUGAAAUCCUGGAGCUCAACUCCAGAACUGCCUUUGAUACUGAAGAUCUUGAGUUCGGGAGAGGUGAGUGGAACUGCGAGUGUAGAGGUGAAAUUCGUAGAUGUUCGCAAGAACACCAGUGGCGAAGGCGGCUCACUGGCCCGAUACUGACGCUGAGGCACGAAAGCGUGGGGAGCAAACAGG